GGGGGGAGCAAGCGUUGUUCGGAUUUACUGGGCGUAAAGGGCGCGUAGGCGGCCACCGCAAGUCGACUGUGAAAUCUCCGGGCUUAACCCGGAAAGGUCAGCCGAUACUGCGGGGCUAGAGUGCAGAAGGGGCAACUGGAAUUCUCGGUGUAGCGGUGAAAUGCGUAGAUAUCGAGAGGAACACCUGCGGCGAAGGCGGGUUGCUGGGCUGACACUGACGCUGAGGCGCGAAAGCUAGGGGAGCGAACGGGAUUAGAUACCCCGGUAGUCCUAGCCUUAAACGAUGAAUGCUUGGUGUCUGGGGUUUUAUAGUCCCCGGGUGCCGUCGCUAACGCUUUAAGCAUUCCGCCUGGGGAGUACGGUCGCAAGAGSKG
rnacentral:rRNA from 1 species